UACGUAGGGUGCGAGCGUUGUCCGGAAUUAUUGGGCGUAAAGAGCUCGUAGGCGGUUUGUCGCGUCGGGAGUGAAAACCAGGUGCUUAACACCUGGCUUGCUUUCGAUACGGGCAGACUAGAGGCAUGCAGGGGAGAACGGAAUUCCUGGUGUAGCGGUGAAAUGCGCAGAUAUCAGGAGGAACACCGGUGGCGAAGGCGGUUCUCUGGGCAUGUCCUGACGCUGAGGAGCGAAAGUGUGGGGAGCGAACAGG
rnacentral:rRNA from 1 species